AUCUUUUCAUGGUUCCUAAGCAUGACAAUGGGAUUUUCACGCUCAUGGGUGCCCUGCAUCUUCCUUAAACCCUGUUACAGCAUGGACACAUUACCUGUCUGAUG
ensembl:snoRNA